rnacentral:rRNA from 1 species
AUGUCUGAACAACAGGAUCAUGUUAGUAAAAGCUCGAGCUCUAGCAUCAGCACCAGCACUCAGGAAAGCGAGGAGGAGGUGUCCGUAACUAUCGGUAGCCUCCUCGCUCAAGCAAGGAACGACAAAGGACAUAGUCUUGGGAGGCGCCUCUUGCAUUUGGGUUCAGUCCCGCACCAUCCUCGAGUUAAUGGAGAGAUUCCUAAUGUUGAUAAUGCAACCUUGGAUCAUGAAAGAUUGUUGGAAAGGUUGGGGACAUAUGGUUUGGCCGAGUUUCAAAUAGAGGGAGAUGGGAAUUGUCAGUUUCGAGCUCUGGCAGACCAGAUUUUUCGCAAUCCUGAAUAUCACAAACAAGUGAGGAAGGCAGUCAUGAAGCAGCUGAAGGAAUUCAGAAAACGCUAUGAAGGCUAUGUACCAAUGGAAUAUAAGGUGUACUUGAAGAAAAUGAAAAGAUCCGGGGAAUGGGGGGAUCAUCUGACCUUACAAGCGGCUGCAGACCGGUUUGGUGCCAAAAUUUGCUUACUGACGUCAUUUAGAGACACCUGCUUAAUUGAGAUAGUCCCAAGGGACCUGACUCCUACAAGAGAGCUUUGGCUUAGCUUCUGGUGUGAAGUACACUACAAUUCCUUGUAUGCGACUGACGACCUCCUGACUCGCAAAACUAAGAAGAAGCAUUGGUUGUUCUAG